AGCAGCAGCAUGAAGACCAGGGUCAACUUGAUGACAUUGUGGGUGGGACUACUGGCUGUUUGUCCACAUCCUUGUCCUGGGUGCCCAGGAAGGCAGUCACCCAGCAACUUGCAGUGAGGUGUGGCGUGUGACUAUGUUUCAGCCAAUGCAAUGGGAGUGGAAGUGGUGUGUGCCAUUUCCAGGUUGGAACUUUUGAAAGCAGGUGUGUCUUCUCCGUGUUCCUUCUUUCCCCUUGUGCAGAUUGGUUGCAGACAAUGAUACAGGCAUCAGGAAUGGUGGAGCCAAGAGACGGGAAUUCAUGGGUGACUGACACACCCCGUGGAAGAGAACCACCUGCCCAACACGAAACCCACCUUGGCCUGUAAGGUUUCUCAAGAACUUGCUCCCAGAAAAAACCUGGAUGGAGAACAAAACAGUAGGACUAUCUGUGGACAAGAGGGAGAAGGGACACUGGGAAGUGUCCUCAUUAGCAGCAUCCAGGCAAGUAACAGAAAUGUAUGAGGGCACUCUGGGGGGAGCACCAUGAAGAACAGGGCACAUGCUCCAUGUCAGGGGGGCCUCUCGGUUCUGGCUGAGGGGCCCAAAGUUGCUGGAUCCAGUAUUUCAGCAGAAAACUCAUAGCCAAAUUUUUUGGGAAAGUCCUCAACUUUGCAACAUGGCAACCAGUUUAAACUUCUUAAUAUCACUGCGCUGGCCACAUUCAGCUCUUAAUUUGUUACCAGUUUGCCACCUCUAGGUUAAAUGUUAGUACCAUUUCAUCAAAACCUUUCCAAAUUUGAAAGCACAUCUUUAGUAAAACUAGCUACAGAGCAGGUUCAUUUGGAUUGCGGAGAGCGGGCACAGAGAAGUCUGGGAGCCAGGCAGGGACUGUAGGGAGGCCCCUGGACCACGUGCUGGGCAUCCUGGUGCCUGAGCUUUGAAAGGGAGAUGGACCACGGCAGUGACAAUAUUUGCUGCAACCGGGCCCUCCUGGGCGACCACCCAGAGCUGGGCUUGGAGCCGAAGGAGGGAUGGGCAAGCUGUGCUGCUCCCAGCUCCAGUUGGCCCCUUCCCAUUAACAUUACAGGAGUGCAGUCGCGUGGAGUUUGAAAAAGCAUCCCUAGUUCCACGAAAUGAUUUACAGGACACCAGACUCUGCAUUUCAGAGGUCUCCGGUGUACCAUAAAAAAUAUAUUCUAAAGGAAUAAUCUUUAUCUGAGCUGAAGCUGCAGUGAAGGAAGCUCACGUCCAGCUGAGAGCAGCCGUGAGCUUCUGUUCACUCAGGGAAAAGUCUGUGUUCAUGUUAUUGGAGCAACAUUUUUUUCUCUCUUUGGCACUAGGUAUCUAGUUAAUAUUUAGACAUUAUAUACAUUUUCUUUCAACCGUUGUUCCUGUUAUGUGAUCAAACAAAACCGGAGAUGCCAAGCACAUCAGCCCUGUAGGCGAAAGCAGACCCUCCAGGCACCCAGCGGUGGCUAGCAGGGUAAACAGGACUCACUGGAGCCAGCCUCUGGGAAAGACUGGCGCCAGGUGCUUGCAGGGCCAGCCCCUGCCCCCAGGAAGCAGAGUCCGCUGGAGUGCCUCAGUUGACCGCUCUGCCUCUUCCUGCCAUUCCAGCCUCGCGUUUCCUCUACCUCCCUGAGCAAAAGGAAACAGGAAGCAAAGUCUAGUUUUGAAUGUUCCAAAGCCUGAUGUUUACCAUUCC